CUGCCUGCCUCGGCCUCCCAAAGUGCUGGGAUUACAGGCAUGAGCCACCGCUCCCGGCCAAUUCUGCCACUUUCUAACUUGAAUAAGCCUCAGGAUGUCCUGGUUGCUACACAGCUAUCACUUCCUCCAUCUCUAACCAAUAUUUGGUUUCUUUUUUGUCACUUGGUAAUAAGGUACCUAGCUCUCCCUUCUGAAAUGUACCUUUGGUGUUCUGUAGCCAUCUGUAUUGAAAGCAUAGUCACACAAGGUAAUGUUUCUUCUUUGUCAUUCUGUAGUCAGACUUUCACAGAAUCCUGAGUUCUUCUGAGAAUCCUAAAGAAGAUAAGUUCUUUAAGAAAAGUUCAAGAUCAUUUCACUUCCCUCUUGUUCUGGUAUGCUAGGUUAAUCCUUUUCCCAGGAUGUAAGAGUUUAAAUUAAUCUUACACCUUCUUUUGAGGGAGUAUGUUUUCCUAAGAAGAGUUGAGGAGUUUCCCUGUAGCUUUAUUACUUGUUGUUAUUUCCUAAUUGUCCCAGUUUCCCAAUUCAUGUAAGAAUAAUAAAUAAAAAUGCAAAUAUAAAUAAAUGUGCAAAGUAUCUGCAUAAGAAAGAAAUAAUAUAACUUAUUUUCUUUUUUCCUUAGCACUGACUCUGAUGAUUACUAUACGAAAAUUGGAAAUGUGACCAGUAUGUUGGUUCUUUUCAUGCCUGGAACAAGGCUUUGUACUGUUGGAAGAAUACAGGUUUCAGAUAAGGAAAGAUCUACACAAGCACUUAGUUUUGAAACUUUUCUGCUCCCAUGUGUCUUGACUCCUUACUCACAACCAAGAGAAGGGGAGUUUACAUCUCGUCUGAUGCAUUUGUAAAGGAGAAAGUAUAUGUUUCCAGGUUUCAAAGGUUGUGUUGCUGUAGUUGGGAAGGGAAUAGAAUGAGUUACAAGAGUGGUGGCAAAUAUCCUCAAGGAUGCUUUGGAGGUAACAGGUUACAACCACAUUUGAAAAAAUUUCAUGGUUUGGUGAGGAUUUCAAAUUAGAAUUAGAGAAAUUUUGCAAAAUGUCAUAGUACUUAGAGUAAAAUAGGACACCUUUCUAAAGUCAGUCAUACUUUGAUACUUUUAGUUGUCUAAAAAGUGGUUGGUUUCUCAUUUUAAACAGUAUUGAGUUUUCUUGAGUUAAUUGACCAUGAUAAAUGGGUUUUAUUACAUAAAAUUUCAAAUUAUUUAAACUAUCUAUAUUUACAUACAUAUUUUCUCCAUUUAAUACAAGAAGCACACUCCCAGGUGAGGCAUAAUGUACGAAAGUCCUGAGUCAUACAGCCUGUUAUUAAAAGCUCACCAGAAUGCAGAUAUUAGUGUUGCUAUUAUAUUUUAUUAUUGUUAUUAUUUAUCAUAAUAUAUGUUUCAGGUUAGUUGUUCUAUCAUAGAAAAACUAUUAGUGGGAACCUAGUUAGCCAUAUCUUCAGCCCCAUCUACAAUACUGAUUUUCACAUAAAAGUUAUUUGCUACAAAUUUGGUACAUAGGUUUAAAAUAAGGAAAGAUCUAUAUAAGCACUUAGUUUUGAAAUUUUUCUGCUCUGUGUCUUGACCUUUUACUCACAAACAAGAGAAAGGGUGUUUAUAUCUCCUCUGAUGCAGUUUGUAAAUGAGAAAGUGUAUGUUUCUGUGUUUCAAAUUUUGUGUUGCUGUCUUUAUGGUUUGAAUUACUAAACAUGAUUUAUGACUUAAUAAAGCUGCUUUUGAAAAAUAUACUUAGAAAAAUAGUGUAGCUGUUUCAAAGUAAAAACAAAUUUAAAAAUAAAACUUACUACUAUUGAUGAUAGAGCUUAUGAGUCAUUUAAAAAAACUGUUUCCCCUGCAAAGCAGAUAAACAGUUUUGCACAUGUAUUAUAAACAGACAUAAUUGACAAGUAUAGAAGUGAUCGUAUUUAAUGUAUUUAGUUCUCUUUUUUAUCCCCAGGGGAACUUAGAGAACUAGGUAGAUAUCAGAUGUUGCUGUACUCAUUGCUACAGGUUGAUUAAGCUGAGAUUAAACAGGUCAAUAAAAGUUUUCCAGCAAUUUUUCUAGAUUACUUGUUUAGUCUGAAAAAGAAUUAUAAUACAAGUUUUUAAACCAAAUUAUCGAACUACUAGUUUUGUGCUUUUGUCUUGUAAAUGCGAUUUUUUUGCUCUGGGUUCUUGUCCUAACGUUCAGUAUCAAAACAUUUCCUACUGACCAUUUUGUUUUUGUCAACUUAUUCUCAUAUUAGUGUCCAAAUUCCAACUAAUGCCUUUAUUACUCACUGGGAAAAUUUUAACAUGAAAAAACCCUGACUAAUGUAAAAUUAUACCCCCCAAAUAAACCAAUAAAAAGGGUUUACUUAUUACCUGAAUUUUGACAGAAAUAGUAGAAAGUAUCUAGUCCUUUCCUCUUAUUUAUCAGAGGAACCUGAAGCAGAGAAAUUGAAUAGCUCUCUCAAAGUGACAUAGUUGGUUAGUGACAAAGCUAAAACAAAUAAUAGCUACCAUUAGAUUUAAAUCUUGUGCUUAUUCACACAUCAGUCAUCUUCAGGCAAUCUGCAUAGGGUUGGAAUGAUAGUUUAAGUUCAGAAAGGUCCCAGGACUGGCAAGUCUUGAUGCAGAAUCCAAACCUAGGUCUGUUAGUCUCUGAAGCCAAUACUUGUUACAUUGUACCUCUCAGUAUUAUAAUAUAAAAUGCCUGUUGCAAGUCUAACUGUAAUAUUAAGAAUAAAUAAUUUCUCUUAUUUGCCAGAAUUUAGAUUUUAGCUUUAGCACAUAUACAAUAAAAAGAGUCUAAUUUUUAAAAAGUCCAAUUAAAAAGACUAUUUCUUUGGGUAGCAUUUCUGUAUUGAGCUGUAAAUAAUAAAAUAGAACCUAAGGGAUUGAAAAAAGAAAACUUCAGUGUAAUAUAAAUAAACUUUUAAUCAUUACAACCAAUUAAAUUGAGACAAUUACUUAACUGAAAAGUGAUUAAGGAAAAAGGAAUAGCACAUAAUCAAAGCAGGGUCUUUGACUUGACACGGUCACAAGACAAGGCACAACAAAGUCGAAUUAGGCUCCAUGGAAAGCUAAUGGACUUAAAGGCAUUUCUAAACUGUUUUCAGGUGAAGAGUUUGAGACUUGGGUAGCAGAAAGACAGGCUCUUCACCAUAACCCAGUGACCCUUGAAAUGACAUGCUGCGGCAAAUCCUGAGGAGAGGAGCCCCGUGAACUCUCCUCGCCUUACACCAAGAAAGUGGCAACAAAGAGGAUACUUAUUUGCAGAUUAGCAGAUAAAAAUGGCAACACGAGGCACAUGCUGUCUUCGAUAUCCGUGAGUAUAAUAAAGUGCUGUUUUGUUUUUGGUGGGAGAAGGGGAGAGGUAAAGAGACAAUAGUUUUCCUUUACUGCUGGAGACAUCAAGAGUUAUAAACCUGCCCACAUGU